rnacentral:tRNA from 2 species
GCGCCCUUAGCUCAGCUGGAUAGAGCAACGGCCUUCUAAGCCGUAGGUCGCAGGUUCGACUCCUGCAGGGCGUGCCA